rnacentral:tRNA from 1 species
GACUGGGGAGUUUGGGAGAAUACUUUAUUGUAGAUAAAGAGGCAUGUCAGUUA